ACUCCCCAACCAUAGCUCAAAUUUAUGCUCAAAAAUUCGCUUCACAACAACCAACAGAACCUGAAAUAACUUCACCACCACAACAAACAACCACCAUACCUUCUGAAGACCAACCCAAUGCUCAAAAAUUCGCUUCACAACAACCAACAGAACCUGAAAUAACUUCACCACCACAACAAACAACCACCAUACCUUCUGAAGACCAACCCUCU
rnacentral:lncRNA from 1 species